rnacentral:rRNA from 1 species
GAGAAGAAAGUUACGAAGGGCGCAUGGGGGAUGCCUAGGCUCUCAGAGGCGAAGAAGGACGUGAUAAGCUGCGAAAAGCUGCGGGGAUUGGCACAUACGAAUUGAUCCGCAGAUGUCCGAAUGGGGCAACCCACUAUGUUGAAGACAUAGUAUCCUGUAAAGGAGGCAAACCCGCUGAACUGAAACAUCUAAGUAGGCGGAGGAGAAGAAAACAAAAGUGAUUUCCUAAGUAGUGGCGAGCGAACGGGAAUUAGCCCAAACCGAAGUUGUUACGGCAAAUUCGGGGUUGUAGGACUGGAAUAAUAAAUUAAAACAGAAUAAGAAUGCGUUGGGAAGCGCAACCGUAGAGGGUGAUAGUCCCGUAUUGGUAAUGUUUUAUUUUAGUUCAGUAUCCUGAGUAAGGCGGGGUCGGAGACGCCCUGUCUGAAUCCACCGGCACCAUCCGGUAAGGCUAAAUACUACUGAGAGACCGAUAGUGAACAAGUACUGUGAAGGAAAGGUGAAAAGUACCUCGAAUAGAGGGGUGAAAAGAACCUGAAACCAUGCGCUUACAAGCGGUCGGAGCCACGUGAUGUGGUGACGGCGUGCCUUUUGCAUAAUGAGCCUACGAGUUACGUCUCAUCGGCAAGGUUAAGGACCUAAGGUCUGGAGCCGGAGCGAAAGCGAGUCUGAAUAGGGCGUUAAGUCGGUGGGAGUAGACGCGAAACCUUGUGAUCUACCCUUGGGCAGGUUGAAGGUUGGGUAAAACCAACUGGAGGACCGAACUGAUAAGCGUUGAAAAGCUUCCGGAUGACCUGAGGGUAGGGGUGAAAGGCUAAUCAAACUGGGAAAUAGCUCGUACUCAUCGAAAUGUCUUUAGGGACAGCCUCGAGGUAGAGUGUCAAGGAGGUAGAGCUACCGAUAGGACUAGGGGGCUUCACCGCCUACCAAAUCCUGACGAACUCCGAAUGCCUAUGACAUAUACUCGGGAGUGAGGGCAUGGGUGCUAAGGUCCAUGUCCGAGAGGGAAAGAACCCUGACCGUCAGCUAAGGUCCCCAAAUCUAUUCUAAGUUGAACAAAGGUGGUGCAGUUGCAGAGACAGCCAGGAUGUUGGCUUGGAAGCAGCCAUUCAUUUAAAGAGUGCGUAACAGCUCACUGGUCGAGCGACAGCGCAUCGAUAAUAAACGGGCAUCAAGAAUAGUACCGAAGCUACGGACUAGUAAUAGUGGUAGAUGAGCAUUCUGACAUCAAUGAAGCUGCAUGGUGAUGUGUGGUGGAGAGGUCAGAAAAGCAAAUGUAGGCAUAAGUAACGAUAAUGCGUGUGAGAAACAUGCACGCCGAUAGACUAAGGUUUCCUGUAUCAACGUUAAUCGGAUCAGGGUUAGUCGGGGCCUAAGGUAUAGGCGAAGGCCGAAGCCGAUGGACAACGGGUUAAUAUUCCCGUACUAAAUAAUUGAGCGAAGUGGAGACGGAGUGAUGAAAGGUUCGCGGACUGAUGGAAUAGUUCGUUGAAGACCGUAACUAUAUUGGGUGUAGGCAAAUCCGCAUCUGAUGGUGAAAGUCGAUAGUAUGCAAAGCCUUCGGGCAGCGCAAUAGUGACCCUAAGGGCUUCCAAGAAAAACUGCUAAGCAUAUUGAUUGUUUACCCGUACCGCAAACCGACACAGGUAGUCAAGGAGAGAAUCCUGAGGCGCUCGAAUGAAUCACGGUUAAGGAACUCGGCAAAAUAACCCUGUAACUUCGGGAGAAGGGGAGCCUACCCAGCGAUGGGAGGUCGCAGAGAAAUGGCCCAGGCGACUGUUUACCAAAAACACAUGGCUUUGCGAAAACGAGAGUUGAAGUAUAAGGCCUGACACCUGCCCGGUGCUGGAAGGUUAAGAGGGGAUGUUAGUCGCAAGGCGAAGCAUUGAAUCGAAGCCCCAGUAAACGGCGGCCGUAACUAUAACGGUCCUAAGGUAGCGAAAUUCCUUGUCGGGUAAGUUCCGACCUGCACGAAUGGUGUAACGAUCUGGGCGCUGUCUCAACCGUGAGUUCGGUGAAAUUGUAGUAGCGGUGAAGAUGCCGCUUACCCGCAACGGGACGGAAAGACCCCGUGCACCUUUACUAUAGCUUUACAUUGACUUCGGAUAACAGAUGUGUAGGAUAGGUGGGAGGCUGUGAAAUAGUGUCGCUAGGCAUUAUGGAGCCAACGUUGAAAUACCACCCUUAUGUUAUUUGGAGCCUAAUCCGCAGAGCGGAGACAUUGUAUGGUGGGUAGUUUGACUGGGGUGGUCGCCUCCAAAAAAGUAUCGGAGGCUUUCAAAGGUACCCUCAGCACGCUUGGUAACCGUGCGCAGAGUGCAAUGGCAUAAGGGUGCUUGACUGUGAGACCGACAAGUCGAGCAGGUACGAAAGUAGGACAUAGUGAUCCGGUGGUUCCGCAUGGAAGGGCCAUCGCUCAAAGGAUAAAAGGUACGCCGGGGAUAACAGGCUGAUCUCCCCCAAGAGCUCACAUCGACGGGGAGGUUUGGCACCUCGAUGUCGGCUCGUCACAUCCUGGGGCUGGAGAAGGUCCCAAGGGUUCGGCUGUUCGCCGAUUAAAGUGGCACGCGAGCUGGGUUCAGAACGUCGUGAGACAGUUCGGUCCCUAUCUGUUGCGGGCGUAGGAAUUUUGAGGGGGGCUGACCUUAGUACGAGAGGACCGGGUUGGACGUACCGCUGGUGUAUCGGUUGUAUUGCCCAGUGCAUUGCCGAGUAGCUAAGUGCGGAAGAGAUAAGUGCUGAAAGCAUCUAAGUACGAAACUCGCCCCAAGAUGAGAAUUCCCUUAAAGGUCGUUGGAGAUGACAACGUUGAUAGGUUGCAGGUGUAAAGUCUGAGAGGACAAAGCCGAGCAAUACUAAUUACCUGUGGACUUUCUGU